rnacentral:lncRNA from 1 species
GUCCUGAUGAUGACAGGAUAAAGAGAGGGGACCUCACAUCCCACCAGCCACUCCAGUGGAAAAAUCCAGCAAGGGAGAAGGGAAAUCAUUUGCUAAGCAGCCAGAAUAAAUCGACAAAUUGCCUGUGAGCCUUCCCCAGAUAGCGCCGUGUUGUCACCGUGAAUUGCAGUGAGCCACGUCAAGGAUAGUUUUCUCCUUUGGGCUUUAUAUAUUUAUUUAUAUGUAUAAAUAUACAUUGUUCUUAUACCUUGGAACUUCCCGGAAGAGGUCCUGAUGUUUGGCUUGAAGAACUGACGUACAUGGCCAUGGAGCGGAACCGAUGACCAUGGUGGAGAGAAUCGCAUUCCUGACGUGGACUGAUCACAGUCCAGACCCUGAGAGUACUUUUUUAGCAGAAACAACUGCAGACACACUCAGCCACCUCAUCUUUGACAAAGGAGCCAACCACCCUCACUGGAGGAAAGAUUGCCUCUUUAAUAAAUGGUGUUGGAAAAACUGGAUUUCAACCUGCCAAAGAUUAAAACUAGACUCAUACCUAUCACCAUACACUAAUCUAAGAUCGAAGUGGAUUAAAGAUCUGAAUAUUAAAACAAACACUAAACUUGCUGGAAGAUAAGUUAGGUAGAACUCUUGAAGGC